rnacentral:rRNA from 1 species
UACGAAUGGGGCAAGCGUUGUUCGGAAUCACUGGGCGUAAAGAGCGCGCAGGCGGUCGAAUAAGUCGAAUGUGAAAGCCCCCGGCUCAACUGGGGAGGGUCAUUCGAUACUGUCGUGACUAGAGUCCAGUAGGGGAGCGUGGAAUUCCUGGUGUAGCGGUGAAAUGCGCAGAUAUCAGGAGGAACACCAGCGGCGAAGGCGGGUCUCUGGGCAACAACUGACGCUGAGGAGCGAAAGCGUGGGGAGCGAACAGG